rnacentral:rRNA from 1 species
AACGAACGCUAUCGGUAUGCUUAACACAUGCAAGUCGGACGGACUAAUCAGGGCUUGCUCCACAUGGUUAGUGGCAGCCGGGUGAGUAACACGUGGGAAUCUGCUCAUCAGUACGGAAUAACUCUUAGAAAUAAAAGUUAAUACCGUCUAUUCUCUUCUGAGGAAAGAUUUAUCGCUGAUGGAUGAGCCCGCGUCAGAUUAGGUAGUUGGUGAGGUAACGGCUCACCAAGCCGACGAUCUAUAGCUGGUCUGAGAGGAUGAUCAGCCACACUGGGACUGAGACACGGCCCAGACUCCUACGGGAGGCAGCAGUGGGGAAUAUUGGACAAUGGGCGAAAGCCUGAUCCAGCAAUACCGCGUGAGUGAUAAAGGCCUUAGGGUUGUAAAGCUCUUUUAGCAGGGAAGAUAAUGACAGUACUGGCAGAAAAAGCCCCGGCUAACUCCGUG